GAAAUGCGAUAAGUAAUGUGAAUUGCAGAAUUCAGUGAAUCAUCGAAUCUUUGAACGCACAUUGCGCCCCCUGGUAUUCCGGGGGGCAUGCCUGUUCGAGCGUCAUUUAUACCAAUCUAGCCCGGCUAGGUGUUGGGCUUCGCCGUCUGGCGGGCCUUAAAAUCAGUGGCGGUGCUUCCAGGCUCUACGCGUAGUAAUUUUCUCGCUAUAGGGUCCUGGGAGACGCUGGCCAACAACCCCAAAUUUUUCUAGGUUGACCUCGGAUCAGGUAGGGAUACCCGCUGAACUUAA
rnacentral:misc_RNA from 1 species